rnacentral:lncRNA from 1 species
GAGAGAGUGCUCUUAAUGAGUGUCAAUCUUCCCCCUUUGGAUAGAAAUCUCCUCCUCCAAUUUGGAAGCCUGUUUUGGAACAUGUCAACGAUGGGAUCUUAGCAUUUUGGCACCGAGAGUCUUUGAAUUUGAAUUUGGCACCAAAGUCUUUGAAUUUGGCACCAAAGUCUUUGAAUUUGGCACCGAGAGGUAUCCCAAGGUAAGUGAUAGGCAACUGUUAAAGCUUGCAGCCCAAGACCUAAACAAGCUCAUUCCCGGAAGUGUCAUCGAGAACCACCAGUUAGAUUUUUUUAGGUUGAUUUUGAGAU